rnacentral:rRNA from 1 species
GUUAUAUGGUCAAGUGAAGAAGCGCAUACGGUGGAUGCCUGGCAGUCAGAGGCGAUGAAAGACGUGGUAGCCUGCGAAAAGCUUCGGGGAGUCGGCAAACAGACUUUGAUCCGGAGAUCUCUGAAUGGGGGAACCCACCUAGGAUAACCUAGGUAUCUUGUACUGA